GACGAACGCUGGCGGCGUGCUUAACACAUGCAAGUCGUACGGUAAGGCCCUUUCGGGGGUACACGAGUGGCGAACGGGUGAGUAACACGUGAGUAACCUGCCCACAACUUUGGGAUAACGCUAGGAAACUGGUGCUAAUACUGGAUAUGUGCUCCUGCUGCAUGGUGGGGGUUGGAAAGCUCCGGCGGUUGUGGAUGGACUCGCGGCCUAUCAGCUUGUUGGUGGGGUAGUGGCCUACCAAGGCGGCGACGGGUAGCCGGCCUGAGAGGGUGACCGGCCACAUUGGAACUGAGAUACGGCCCAGACUCCUACGGGAGGCAGCAGUGGGGAAUAUUGCACAAUGGGCGCAAGCCUGAUGCAGCAACGCCGCGUGCGGGAUGACGGCCUUCGGGUUGUAAACCGCUUUCAGCAGGGACGAAGCUUUUUGUGACGGUACCUGCAGAAGAAGCACCGGCUAACUACGUG
rnacentral:rRNA from 1 species